CGCUUUCCCAUCCUCCAAGACUAAGUGGCUCGACACCGACGCUGCUACCCUCUGCAACACCUUAAUGGACUCAGGAUCACCCAUCACUUGCUCUGGAUCGUCCGGCACUUGAGCCUCCGCAGACAUCCCACACAGGUGCGGCGUGGCGAGAGUAAUGGCCGGGCUAACGCCGUAGCUGAAGCGUCUAGGAGGAGAAAAGGCGAGGAAGACACCGCCACCAUUUCCAGAUAUCUCUCAACACUUGUUAAAUACUUUUCUGAGAGAGAACCAAAUUAACCAUAAUUGGUUUGGAGUGACACGUGGGUAAGUCUCUAUCUAUUUCUUGUGUCUCGGCAUCACUAUUCAGUAUAUUCACUACACACGAAA